GUCCCUGCAGCGCAAUGGAUAGCGCGUUGGAUCUAAUCCAAAGAUCGUGAGUUCAAGUCCCACUCCCUGGGAUU